CUCCCCCGCCGCUAACGCUACUUAUCCCGGGAAAGCUCGAGCGGGCCCCGGGAGCGAACCCACAGACAAAAAGUGAAACUUCAGCAGCAGGCCGGGAGUGGCUGCUGACGACAGAUUGGAAAGCUGAGCUUGAGCAAAGAGAUCCUGCCAUGGAACACCCCACCCCCCACCCUAAGAGCCUCGUCGGAGCCCCGCCCAGGACUCCAGCAGGACUCAGAAGUCCGGGAUGGUAGAGAGCAACUUCAGUUCCCUUCGCACAGGAGAGCUCCGAAGCUGGGACCUGACCCAGUCCUGCCCCGUGGAGAGGAGCCAGUAUUCUACUCUUAGCUGGGUUUCCGCCUCCAGGCACGACCCGGCCUCUAACUGUGAGCUUAGACCCAAGUUAGAGCUAGGCAGAUGACUUGACCCACUGAAGUGACUAACCCCAGUUCCUGGAAGGUUGUGGUUGACAAGCCUUGAGAAACAAUGGCAAUCGAGUGCUUCAGGGCAACUUCCUGUCCUUUGUUCAAAGACAAGAACCUUUGGAGUUUAACUUUUGCUUCCCAACCCUGCCCUGCCGGAAAACCAACCAGAAAGCUUGCUCUGUUCUUACAGCUUAAAAAAAGAAAAUACACGAACUGGGUGAACUGGUUUGAAUAAAGACAAGCCUGUUCUUGGAAGGUUGGGUUUGGAUAUUUUGUGUUUGAUAUUUGUAAAAGUGAGCAACGAUGAGAACCCCUUUUACUAGGUUAAGAUUCCGGCUAGGAGACACUGGAAGCCCUCUGGCCCUCAGUAGUGAACGCUUUUCAUCCCGGCACAAGAGAGGUUUACAUAGACACUGUCACAAACUAACCAAAAACACAGAUUUGGGUGUGGGUGUGUGGGUGGGGGUGUGGGUGUUUCUAUCCUGUAUCCUUUGCUUUACCCCAGUCUCCCAAACAACUUCAACCCAUGCUAAUAACACAACCACCCAUUCUGGUCUUUGAUUGGGUUGGGUAGGAUCUAAGGAAAAUACCAUAACAUGACCUGCACAACACAGCUGUCUGAGCAUGCCCCUGACCUUCCCACUCUCAAGCCACCUUCCACCACCGUGGGCCCUCACCUUCUACAGCCUAACUCAGUCAUGCAGACAGAAAAAGUACACCAGGGACUUCAGGGGUGGGGACGCUCCAACGUGCCUCUUCUCCGGUUAUAUUUUGAUGAACCUUUCGGACUAAGUGUCAAAGUACGUACUCCUGUACUUAACAUGUAUUGAACAUUUCUCCGGCAGUCUUCAAAAUUCAAACACUUCUGGGGCCAAACUGCUUAACCCCUUUGCCCUCCCAAGUUUUCCAGCUACACACACUCAAAAGUAGGAUUACAGCAGGAGAGAACACGGGUACCUGUGCGUUCCACGGGAAACAGGCUCCCAGGGGUCCGGCUUUUUAAGAGAUCAGUGUAUUCACUCUACCCUAAGCAUUUCAGCCAAUGCGUGCCCUCUGUGCUACUGCAAUGGAAGUCAUCCAUUGCUCGUUUAGGUAUAACAGAACUUGACCAGCAUCCCUUGCUUCCUUUACUCCCUUCUCAGUAACCCACUUAUAAAGAAUAAUAGAGUUCUAAUGAGGAUUAAUAAAAUUUAAUAAGG
ensembl:lincRNA Lppos LIM domain containing preferred translocation partner in lipoma, opposite strand